UAGACGUGGGGGCACCCUGACCGCAAUGCCGCGUGAGUGAAGAAGGCCUUCGGGUUGUAAAGCUCUUUUGUCAGGGAAGAAACACCGGCUCUAACACAGUCCGGGAAUGACGGUACCUGAAGAAUAAGCACCGGCUAACUACGUGCCAGCAGCCGCGGUAAUACGUAGGGUGCAAGCGUUAAUCGGAAUUACUGGGCGUAAAGCGUGCGCAGGCGGUUAUACAAGACAGGCGUGAAAUCCCCGGGCUUAACCUGGGAAUGGCGCCUGCGACUGUAUAGCUAGAGUGUGUCGGAGGGGGGUAGAAUUCCACGUGUAGCAGUGAAAUGCGUAGAUAUGUGGAGGAAUACCAAUGGCGAAGGCAGCCCCCUGGGGUAACACUGACGCUCAUGCACGAAA
rnacentral:rRNA from 1 species